rnacentral:tRNA from 1 species
AGUUAUUUAGCUUAUAACAUAAAGUAUAUAUCUUGAAAAUAUAAGAAAGAGAAAUUUAAUAACUU